CUUUGACUUAAGAGACACAUGAACCCGCCACAAAAACCACGGCCAUGCACGUCAGAAGUAUUAGUGAGUUCAUAUCAUAGUUUCAGAGACAGCCUUGGAGAGAACACGUCUUUCAGGCACAUUUGUUCAGCUGGUUCUGCAGUUCAAACCCAGUAGUGGACAUGGUGGCUUGGAGUGGCGUGGUCUCACUUAGAAGCCAAAUGUAUUUCUGGAGCUCAAUGGACAGCGUUCCCAACCAAUCAAGAAAUGACAUAGUGAAUUAAGAAGAGGGUCCUACCAUCUGAAGUAAGAUGUUGGAAACACAGAUGCUCAACUGAGGAGCCAGUGAGAAAGAGGGCAAAAUGAUGGAUUUCAGAAAGCCUAGAGCUUCCAGCCUGGAGUCCCAAGAAGAUGGAGGGAGCCAUGGCCUGUCUCCUGGAGCAUGUGGAUUGUGAGCGCAGAGCUGGCUCUGGCUUGAGAGUGUGGCUCUGGGCUCCCUUGCAGGAGCGAGGCUAUCUCUACGAGGAAGACAGGCCUGCCGAAGCAUGGGUCCCUGGCUGGCUGAGCCUAAGGACGUUAGGAUCCUGUUUUACCAAAACUGGGGAUGGGACAGGAGGAAGGAAAAGUGAAAGGGAGUGUGGAGCAGUGGGUAGUUACAAGCCUGGGUGACCUCAGUGUGGGGCUGGGGCAAACAGAGCAUGUGGGGGACAGCUAUUGAGAAAGCAGACAUGUCUGAGCUUUGAAAUGUGCAAAUGAGUGUUAGGGAAGGAGUCAGAAGGGCAAAGCCCAUUACGGGGAAAACCAGGGUGAAACCGAAGAAGAGAAACAAUGAAAAUUGGAGAGUAUUGAGUUCGUAGGAAAUCGACACUCGGUAUUCUGUGGAAACUGUUGCUUUGGCUUUGGGCAUAACAGAACUGUAAAUGUGGAUAAUAUGUAAAUACCAUUUAUAAUUUAAAAAGUCUGGAAGAUUCAAAUGAGAUAAUCUUUCUGAGGGCGCUCUGACAAGGAUGGAGGAGGAUAUUUGUGGUUGAGGUGAAAAGACACUAGAUGUACAGUCUGAAGAAACAGAAUUCAAGAGACAGCCUGCCCAGGGGAAGAGGGAAGUCCCUGGUCCCCUCCUUGGCCUCUGGGCCCUGGGCCAGCAAAGUGUCAAUAACUGUUCUUUUCCAGGAAGCUCGGAGGGCUCUGAUACUUAAUCUUGAUGGACAACGUCACUAGAUUUAGAAUCACCUAGGAAACAGACCUCUGGGUGUGUCUACGAGGGUAUUUCCACAGAGGUUUCAGGAGGAAGGAAGGUCCACCCUGACGUGGGUGGCGCCAUUCCCUGGGCCGGGUCCUGGAUUUAAUGAACUGGAUAAAAGGAGAAAACAAGCCGAGUACAUCGGCUUCCACCUGCUUCCUGACUGUGGAUACACUGUGAACACGGCCUUGAGUCCCUGCCCCAUGCCUUCCUUCCGAGAUAGACUGUACCCUCAAACUGUGAGUCAGCGUCACCCUCCCUUCAUUAAAAGUCGCUCCUCUCAUCUGUUUAUCACUGCA